rnacentral:rRNA from 1 species
UAAUGUCUGGGAAACUGCCUGAUGGAGGGGGAUAACGUACUGGAAACGGUAGCUAAUACCGCAUAAUGUCGCAAGACCAAAGUGGGGGACCUUCGGGGCCUCAUGCCAUCAGAUGUGCCCAGAUGGGAUUAGCUAGUAGGUGGGGUAACGGCUCACCUAGGCGACGAUCCCUAGCUGGUCUGAGAGGAUGACCAGCCACACUGGAACUGAGACACGGUCCAG